rnacentral:rRNA from 1 species
GUACCGGAAGGUGUUCUUGGAAUGAGACAUAGCUUAAUAAAAGCACAUUGCUUACACCAAUAUAAUGCCUGCUAAACUCGGGCUGUCUCAAGCUAAAAAUCUAGCCCACCAAUCCCCUACACCUAAAUUUCAAAACUAAAAUAUUUUUAUAAUAAAGUAAAGACGAUUAAAAAAUUAACAAGAGCAAUAAAAAUGUACCGCAAGGGAUAGUUGAAAUAGAAAUGAAAUAAAAUUAAAGCCUUAAAAAGUAGAGCUAACCCCUCGUACCUUUUGCAUCAUGGUUUAACUAGUUUAAUUAAGCAAAACGAUUUAAAGUUUAACUUCCCGAAACUAAGUGAGCUACUUCAAGACAACCUAAGAGUCAACCCCCCGACGUUGUAAAGUCGCGGGAAGAUCCUGAAGUAGUGGUGAUAUACCUAACGAACUUAGCGAUAGCUGGUUACUCAGGAAAAGAAUUUUAGUUCAACCUAAAGAACCUUAAGUACUAAAAACAAAAAUUCGUCUUUAGAGUAAUUCAACCAAGGAACAGCUUGGUUGAAUCAGGACACAACCUUGACCACAGGAUAAUGAACUCCUCCGAAUACAACUAAGUAGGCCUAAAAGCAGCCAUCUAACAAAAGCGUUAAAGCUUUUCUGUUUUCCAAAGAAUACCUCACACUUCACAGAAUCCUUCAUUAGUACUGAGUACAUCUAUAUUUUAUAGAAAAUUUUAUGUUAAAACUAGUAACAAGAAGUUAUUCUUCUCCUCAAUGCAAGUGUAUCUCAGUAAGGACCCCCCACUGAAAAUUAACAACCCAAAGCAGAAACCUAACAAGAAAAAUCUUCUUAACAAACUGUUAACCUAACACCAGAGCAUUCCAAGAAAGAUUAAAAGAAAAAGAAGGAACUCGGCAAACUUCUGCCUCGCCUGUUUAUCAAAAACAUCGCCUCUUGAAUUAUAUAAGAGGUCCAGCCUGCCCAGUGACUUUGUUCAACGGCCGCGGUAUCCUAACCGUGCGAAGGUAGCGUAAUCACUUGUUCUUUAAAUAAGGACUAGUAUGAAAGGCAUCACGAGGGCCAACCUGUCUCCUUUUUCUAAUCAGUGAAACUAAUCUCCCCGUGAAGAAGCGGGGAUAUUUUUAUAAGACGAGAAGACCCUUUGGAGCUUUAAAUUGAACGCCGCCUACAUUUUUCUUUUAAAUUCCUGAAGAGUAAACAAAUAUAUCCCGGCUGUAAAUUUUAGGUUGGGGCGACCGCGGAGAAAAACUUACCCUCCACAUUGUUAAGAGCCAUCUUAAACAAAAGCAACAACUUUAUGUAUCAAUAAAAUUGACAUCUAUUGACCCAUUAUUUGAUCAACGAACCAAGUUACCCUAGGGAUAACAGCGCCAUCCACUUUAAGAGCUCAUAUCGACAAGUGGGCUUACGACCUCGAUGUUGGAUCAGGGUAUCCAAGUGGUGCAGCAGCUACUUAAGGUUCGUUUGUUCAACGAUUAAAACCCUACGUGAUCUGAGUUCAGACCGG